GAAAUGCGAUAAGUAAUGUGAAUUGCAGAAUUCAGUGAAUCAUCGAAUCUUUGAACUCACAUUGCGCCCGGCAGCAAUCUGCCGGGCAUGCCUGUCCGAGCGUCAUUUCUGCCCUCGAGCGCGGUUCGGCCCCUAGCGGGCCGGCCGCCGCCCGGUGUUGGGGCGCUGCGGGCCCUCGUGCCCGCAGGCCCUGAAAUGAAGUGGCGGUCCCGCCGCGGCGCCCCCUGCGUAGUAGUAAAGCACCUCGCAUCGGGUCCCGGCGGAGGCCAGCCGUCGAACCUCUCUUUUGAUGGUUUGACCUCGGAUCAGGUAGGGUUACCCGCUGAACUUAAGC
rnacentral:misc_RNA from 1 species